rnacentral:rRNA from 2 species
GGGUUGUGAGGUUAAGCGACUAAGCGUACACGGUGGAUGCCCUGGCAGUCAGAGGCGAUGAAGGGCGUGCUAAUCUGCGAUAAGCGCCGGUAAGGUGAUAUGAACCGUUAUAACCGGCGAUACCCGAAUGGGGAAACCCAGUGUGACUCGUCACACUAUCAUUAACUGAAUCCAUAGGUUAAUGAGGCGAACCGGGGGAACUGAAACAUCUAAGUACCCCGAGGAAAAGAAAUCAACCGAGAUUCCCCCAGUAGCGGCGAGCGAACGGGGAGGAGCCCAGAGCCUGAAUCAGCAUGUGUGUUAGUGGAAGCGUCUGGAAAGGCGCGCGAUACAGGGUGACAGCCCCGUACACAAAAGCGCAUGUGCUGUGAGCUCGAUGAGUAGGGCGGGACACGUGGUAUCCUGUCUGAAUAUGGGGGGACCAUCCUCCAAGGCUAAAUACUCCUGACUGACCGAUAGUGAACCAGUACCGUGAGGGAAAGGCGAAAAGAACCCCGGCGAGGGGAGUGAAAAAGAACCUGAAACCGUGUACGUACAAGCAGUGGGAGCCCCACCACUAAGCCAGUGGUGAACUCCACAUACGCAUCCUUUGCUGAGGAUACGGUUAACGGAGCGAAAGCGACGUUCAACCGCAAAAGAAGCAGAGGGGG